rnacentral:rRNA from 1 species
CCCUCAGUCGCGCCGAAUCCGGGCGCUUGGCGACGCAUCAUUCUGCGCCGGGAGUCCCCUUUUGCACGGGGACAACCAGCAGCUCCAGGCACCUCUGGAGUCUACAGAUCAAACGAUCGCGGCCACUCCGGUGGUUAAGAUAUGAUCGGCCUUGACCGUUAUCGGUCCAAAGUUUCGCGGAACCUGCGGAAGGAUCAUUA